GACUAUUCCGGUGGCCUAGUGGUUAGAGCAUCCGCCUCGGAAGCAGGAGGUCGUGGGUUCGAUCCCCAUUCGAGUCA